AGCUCUUACACAGUGGAAUCGGUGGCCGGUACACCAGGUCGUAGAUGGCAGAUAGCACGUUUCGGUGCACAUGGCAUCCCAGCAAGCCUAGGUGUCACCAAACAGUAUGAAAGGUCACAGACUAAGUGAAGUGGCUGAGCUUACCUUGGGUAAGCAGCUUAAGAAUAGCGGGCUCUCUGCGAAAGCAAAGAGGAGUCACAAACCAACCGUUCGUAGGUGAACCUGCGGAAGGAUCAUUA
rnacentral:rRNA from 1 species